GAUGAACGCUGGCGGCGUGCCUAAUACAUGCGAGUCGAGCGAACAGACGAGGAGCUUGCUCCUCUGACGUUAGCGGCGGACGGGUGAGUAACACGUGGAUAACCUACCUAUAAGACUGGGAUAACUUCGGGAAACCGGAGCUAAUACCGGAUAAUAUAUUGAACCGCAUGGUUCAAUAGUGAAAGACGGUUUUGCUGUCACUUAUAGAUGGAUCCGCGCCGCAUUAGCUAGUUGGUAAGGUAACGGCUUACCAAGGCAACGAUGCGUAGCCGACCUGAGAGGGUGAUCGGCCACACUGGAACUGAGACACGGUCCAGACUCCUACGGGAGGCAGCAGUAGGGAAUCUUCCGCAAUGGGCGAAAGACUGACGGAGCAACGCCGCGUGAGUGAUGAGGUCUUCGGAUCGUAAAACUCUGUUAUUAGGGAAGAACAAAUGUGUAAGUAACUAUGCACGUCUUGACGGUACCUAAUCAGAAAGCCACGGCUAACUACGUG
rnacentral:rRNA from 1 species